AUGAAGUUGUCUAAAAUCAGCCUGGCUCAUGUCCUGUCUCAUCAGCGCGUACCUGGCGGCACGGAGCGGGAAACCUCUCCGAGCAGCAUCCCUGGGGACAGCGCUGCUGCUUCUGCACGGGCUGCCGGCAGCCUCCGAGUGCCUGCAGCCCUCUCCAGAGGGGCAAGGAGAGCCCGAAGAGGACAGCAGGGCCCCGAAAUAAGGACAGCCCGACAGAGAGUUUCGUACAGCCGAACAGAGCCGCAGGUACAAGAAGCGCUUUCUCAGAGCACAGCCCGGCCCGCCGGGAGCAGUCCCACCGAGCCGUGCCGAGCCGGGCAGAGCCGUGCCGAGCCGGGCAGAGCCGUGCCAGCCUCAGAGGGCCGAGUCCGAGUCGCUGGAGUCGAGGCUGUUGCGCAGGCGGCAGCUGCCCAGGCGGUCCCGCUGCAGCUUGCCCCGGGGGGCUCGGGCCGGCCGGGCGGGCGGGGGGAACUCCUCGGCCACGCAGACGAAGUGCGGCAUCACCGCCUGGUAGCUGGAGCAGACGCCCAGCAGCUCGGAGGGCUUGGCGGCCAUCCUGCCCUCCGCCGGGGGGCGGUGGGAUGCGAUCGGAGCCGAGCCGGGCGAUGCGGAGCCCCUCUCCCGUCCCCCCCUGCCCCAAGCAGAGCGGCUGGGCUCGGCACGGCUCGGCACGGCUCCUAUAUAGCCCGGGCUGCCCACGCCUGAGCAUGCUCAGACGGCGGCGGGGCCCCCCCCGCUGCCCGCUUGCCUUCCGCCGCUCCGCCCCCGGCCCCCCCUGCCCACGGCCGGGGCCGGGCCCGAGCUGCCGCCCCCCCCCCGGUGCCGGGGUCAGCCCCGUGUGAGGGGCUGGGGUCGGUCCCGUCUCCCUCCCGGCCGUGGUUUGAUCGGGGUUAAGUACCUGAUUCGGAGUGACUCCAGUUCGUGCUUCGCCGAGGGGUCGGGAGAUGCCCCGGUGGGUGCCAGGGGGGCGCAGGGCUGGAAAAACCCCGCAGCGUGAGGAAAGCACAGAGCAAGGAGAGGAAAGGAGCUAGGGUGAAACAGAGCAGAACGGGGAGGCAGAGCCUGAAAUAGUUCCUCCAGCAGCCACCACAAAACCUCGGCUCUGUUUUUCGGUACAACACAGCACCGAUGUCUCGGGGCUCCCCCGGACGAGGCCGAUGGCCCCAUGCAGCAAACAGCCAUAACCACAGCCCCGUCUCAAACCAGCCACAAUAUGAGCUGCUCCAGGAGAAAGGUGGCUGGCGGCUCUGGUCGGCACCCUCGGGGGGCUGCUGGCUGCCCCGCUUGUCGCCAGCGCUCAGGGAUUGCUCAGGGCCUUGGCUGCAGACAGCAUCUGGCUGCAGCCUCGCUGCUCCUUGGCUCCCCGAAGCAGCUUCGGGACCAGGCUCAGUCUGAAGCCUUUUUAUUGGGAGAUGCAAUUAACUUAAUAAGGGAACAAUUUUCUGUCGGGUCAAACUGAAUCAUUCCUGUUUGGAGAAGACGGCAUUUUUUUUUUUUUACUGUUGAUUUUAAUGGCUAAAUUUAGCCCCCCGAAGCCCUGACUGCAUUACGAGGACUUUCUCUCUAAGGGACCCACUCACAGCAGAUUUUAUUCCUGAGAACUGGACUCUGCAGCACACUGGACCGAGCUCUGCUUCCUCAGCACAGACAGGAACCACGGGGUGAGACCUGGAGGACUCCUGGGGCCGAGCUCGCCUCUCCUGCAGGAGCAAACUGGCAGCAGAGGAAAGCAUCUCACAUUCACGUGAAGCAAGGUAAAUCUAAUCUGCUCUAGCAACAGCCUUAGCAUAAGAGGAUCCAAGGCCCUGCAGAA
ensembl:lncRNA